CCUACGGGAGGCAGCAGUGAGGAAUAUUGGUCAAUGGACGAGAGUCUGAACCAGCCAAGUAGCGUGAAGGAUGACUGCCCUAUGGGUUGUAAACUUCUUUUAUAUGGGAAUAAAAUGUUCCACGUGUGGGAUUUUGUAUGUACCAUAUGAAUAAGGAUCGGCUAACUCCGUGCCAGCAGCCGCGGUAAUACGGAGGAUCCGAGCGUUAUCCGGAUGUAUUGGGUUUAAAGGGAGCGUAGGUGGAUUGUUAAGUCAGUUGUGAAAGUUUGCGGCUCAACCGUAAAAUUGCAGUUGAAACUGGCAGUCUUGAGUACAGUAGAGGUGGGCGGAAUUCGUGGUGUAGCGGUGAAAUGCUUAGAUAUCACGAAGAACUCCGAUUGUGAAGGCAGCUCACUGGACUGCAACUGACACUGAGGCUCGAAAGUGUGGGUAUCAAACAGGAUUAGAUACCCUUGUAGUC
rnacentral:rRNA from 1 species